CCAGAAGCCGGGCGCGCGCGCUGUGCUCCUCCGUCAGGCCAGGGCGGGGCUCCCGGGCCCCUUUCCCAGAGCCCCCGGGGGCCCGGCUCCUGCUCUGCCGCCCGAGGCACAUUUGGUCCAACUGCGGUGGAAGACCACACAGUAUUUGAUCAGGGAUGAAUCAAGAUUCCUUUGAACAGGAAAGUACCAAACUGAGGACUUACCAUAUCAGCCAAUGCAAUGUAGAGAAACAUUCCACCAGCUAAAGCAAAGAUCCAGUUGGCAGAGAAGUGGCUGCCCGCCAAUAUCCCAAAGGCUAGUCCCACAUAGCAGCAGCAAGCAGAGAUGAAGUUGAAGAACAGCGCUUGCUGGAUGGACAUUCCAGAAUUCAGCAGAAUGACAAAGUCACCUGCACGACCAAGGGCAAUGGGAAGGAAGUGAAAAAGGAGAGAUUGCAUCAGACAUCAAGAGAAUUUCCAGACACCACACUCCUGGCAUUUGCUUCAGUCCUAUCUCAGAGUUUGAGGAGCACAUACCUAGCUCAUGAGGAAAUUCUUCACAGAGAAU